rnacentral:ncRNA from 1 species
UUAAAUGCAAAGAAAAGGAAAGUACUUUUAAAAAUACUUUUACAGAGAGUUUCUAUUUGGUGAGAAGAAGCGAAGGAUAUUAAAAGGAAAAUGGCCUUGGAGUAGUGCACCGAGAUUUCUUUAAGAAUUUAAGGCUGCAACGGGUUCACCCGUUAUAGUGAUAGAGUAUAAUCAAAUUAGUUGACGUACUUGAAGAGGUUUAUAAGGUGACUUAUAAAUGAAAUAGGAUGGUAACACGAAGUUUUUACUCUCGUUCCUAAG